rnacentral:lncRNA from 1 species
CAUGAGGAGAAUUCGAAGGAAAUACAUAAGUCAAUCUUUGACACUCUUUAUAAGAACUGUAGAUAAUAUCCACAUUUUCUCAGACCAAGGACAGGUGAAGUUGUCUACAGACUGUUAUCACUCACAUACCACCCUCCAGGCUAAAAGAAAGACCACUGAGUUUGUCACAAACAGAGCUAUGAUUUGGGCAACCCUCACCCACCUAUGCCCAGCCCCACUGUAGCACUGGUUUCUCUGAAUUGUAAUACUUUGGUGACAAUUGUUCAUCUCUUUCAACAAACUACAAGUUUCUAAAACCAGGGAGGGUCUUAUUCAUCUUUUUAUUUUUCUUGUGCCUACCUUCAGUCUAAUUAUGUCAUAUAAAUCAGAAAUGAGAUGUCAGUUUAAGUUUAACCUUUGCAUUUAGAAGCUCCUUUGUCCUCUAUACCAUAUAUCUUGGAUACAAUCCAAUAAGUCAGAUUAUCUUCAGGAAUUAGGUAGAAUAGCUCAAGCAGUUUCUACAAGCAAGAUUUAGAAAAUCUCAUUUAACCUACCAUUAGUAUUUUUUUCAUGGAUAAUCCCCUCAUACCAAAAAAUGAAUUGCUGUAAUCCAUAUUGUCUUUCUUAAGGUCAAAAGGCUUUGGCUAUUUCAGUGGAACAAUAAACUGCUUUGUAAAGAGAAUAGUGGCAUAUGUUAGUCUACAGAUUAAGUAUAAAUUUUUAGCUGCUCUGAAUUUUAACAGCCCAAUUAACACGUGUCUUGCUGUUAGCCUUUUUAAAGAUACAAUCUAUUUACAUGUGUUCAUGUUUUGCAGUUGCUAUAGUUUGUCUAAGCCCAAGGAUUAUGUCAUUAAAACCAUUAUAGCAUUAUAAAGUGAUUUUGGUAUUAUGAACAGUCAGUGGCUUUGUAAACCACCAUUGACUUACAGUAGAAAAUCCAAGGUUUAGGGAUUUGCCAUUGAGUGGGAUGCUGAUAGUAAAAAAACAAAGUUGACAGAAGAGGAAGAGAGAACUUUUAAAUACCUGAAUAGAAUGAUUUGGAGCAGGGCUGCAGACAUUCAUUAGGAUUUUCUUAAAUCAAAUGCUUCUUCCCUAAAAACCUCAGCUACUAUAUUAGUUGCUGAGGGUUGCUAUAACAAAUUACCACAAACGAAGGGUUUAAGCAAUGGAAGGUUGUCUCACGUUUCUAGAGCUAGAUGUCCUAGAUCAAGGUGUCAGCUGGGCUGGUUCCUUCUGAGGGUUGUGAGAAAAAAAAAUCUAUUCCAUGUCUCCCUCCUGUCUAGUGGUUUGUCAGGAAUCUCUGGUGUUCCUUUCUUGUCAACACAUGACUCCAAUCUCUGAUAGUCACUUGGAGUUCUCCCUAUGUGUGUAUCUGUCUCCAAAUUUCCCCUUCUUAUAAAGACACCAGUCAUAUUGAAUAAGACUUGCCCUAAUGAACUCAUUUUAACUUGAGUACCUCUUGAAAGACUCUAUUUACAAAUAAAGCCACAUUCUGAGGUCUCAGGGGCUAAGACUUCAAGGAGAGGAAGUAAUUUCAAUGCAUAACUGCUAUAAAUACCCAAAACCCCACCCAACUUUAACAGUCAGACCCUUUUAACGCAUGUGGCUCUGGCUCUCUUCCCCAGAACAACUUACAAUGUCUUUCUUUUCUUUUUUUUUUUUUUUUUUUUUUUUUUUUUUUUUUUUUUUGGCAGUUCCUGUGGCAUGUGGAAGUUCUGGGCCAGGGAUCAAACCCAUGCCACAGCAGCAACCCAAACCACUGCAGUGACAACACUGGAUCCUUAAUCCACUUCACUGCAAGGAACCUCCCCACAAUCUUUUUCAAUGACACAUACUAGCCAAUGAAAAAUAAUUAACACUCCAGUGAACAUGGUUGAUUGGAAAAAAAAAUUGUUUCUCAAUUGUAUAUUUCAGAACUUCAGACACAAUUUUUUUUUAACAUAAGCAGGAAGCAAAAUUCCAACUGAAGGGAGAUCAUAGUUUGAUACAUUACCGCUCUCAACUUCCAUCUAGAAUUUCAAACAUCCUAUAAAAGAUACUGAAUUGUGUUGAAGUGCCUAGGACUGUUCUGAGCAUAUAUAAGAUGCUUAAUAAAUAUCAGUUAACUUUCUUUAAACAUAGCCAUUAUAAAUCCUAGGCUCAAGAAAUAACUUAUGUCUCUAUUGCCUACAAAUCAAACUACUUUCCUUACAAAAUCCCAUCCAUUGGGUCAGAAGGAAAUUCCAUCUUAAUGAGACUCUGAUUUUUUUUUUCCAUAGACACAUCUUGCUGAACUAUCCCCAUCUCAUCUGUCCAGGGUUAACUCUUUCUCAUUCAAAGGAAAACUUCUCCUUACCACAUUCUUUUCCAAGUCACAAUCUCUAACAUCAAAUAUUAUUUGAAAAAUAGAUUUUAUGCCACGGUAUACUUAGAAUGUGACUCCUCAGAAAUUAAAAAACUUGUUCUCCUUUCCUUCAGGACAAAAAGAUUUUAACAUUCAUAUCUCACGAGAAUGUAAAAAAAAAAAAAUUGCAUUUCAAUCUUCUAGUAAAUUAAAAAGAGGAGAGAAGACAAAAGAUUUAUGUUGCUGUAAUAAAAUUCACAUCCAGGCUAGACUAGACUGCAACUCACCUGAAGACAGGAAUUAGACCUGUUGAAUCCACAGCCUCAUGUACAGUGAGCUGAUAAAUGAAUGAAUGAAUAUAAGUAGUUUUUUAUUGAUAUGGACAUAGGAAAACCACCAUGUAUCCUGAUGAAAAACAUGGGAGGAAAGGAAAGAUAUUUUAGUUCAAAGGCUUAGAGUUUGUAGUGAGAAAAACCUACGUUAAAAUUCCAGUUCUUGCUAUUUCGUGCAUUUUGAACCUUGGUUCCUAUAGUUGUAAAAUGGAGAUAAAACCUUUCAGAAUUCAUGUGAAAUUUUGAGAUAAUUUAUCUCAAUUCGUUGUAUAUAAAAGUACUUCACAUAUGGGUAGUUGUGGUAUUUUUUUUUAUUGUUAUUCUUGGCUAUGCCCGCAGCGUGUCGUAGUUUCCAGACUAGGAAUAGAACCCACUCCAUAGCAAAGACCCAAGCCACAGUAGUGACAAUGAAGGAUCCUUAACCCACUGAGCCACCAGGGAACACCCAUGGUAUUUGUUAUUGUGGUUUUGUUGUUGCUGUUGUUUUACAUUCCCAACAAAUUCUAUAGAGCUUGGCACAUGGUUGCUGCUAAAUAAAAGCUUAACU